GAGCGAGCGGGAAGAGCUCAAAUUUAUAAUCUGGCACCUUCGGUGUCCGAGUUGUAAUCUCUAGAAAUGUUUUCCGCGUUGGACCGCACACAAGUCUGUUGGAAUACAGCGGCAUAGUGGUGAGACCCCCGUAUAUGGUGCGGACGCCCAGCGCUUUGUGAUACAUUUUCGAAGAGUCGAGUUGUUUGGGAAUGCAGCUCAAAUUGGGUGGUAAAUUCCAUCUAAAGCUAAAUAUUGGCGAGAGACCGAUAGCGAACAAGUACCGUGAGGGAAAGAUGAAAAGCACUUUGGAAAGAGAGUUAACAGUACGUGAAAUUGUUGGAAGGGAAACGCUUGAAGUCAGACUUGCUUGCCGAGCAAUCGGUUUGCAGGCCAGCAUCAGUUUUCCGGGAUGGAUAAUGGUAGAGAGAAGGUAGCAGUUUCGGCUGUGUUAUAGCUCUCUGCUGGAUACAUCUUGGGGGACUGAGGAACGCAGUGUGCCUUUGGCGGGGGUUUCGACCUCUUCACACUUAGGAUGCUGGUGGAAUGGCUUUAAACGACCCGUCUU
rnacentral:rRNA from 1 species